AUUAACCCCCCAAUUCUGUUAUGAUUAUGGUAUUUAUAUGAAGUCUUAAUCACACUGAAAAUGUUAAUUAAGCUUGGUUAGUGGUAAUUGGCAAAAAUGAGGUGUUUUGACAAAACUUGAAAAUUAGUGGUGCAUGAAGUAAUGUGGACGUGAACAGUAGCCAAUGCAUGAUCAAAACUGAGUUAUGUAUUGAUACAAAGCUCGUAUGUAUCAAUACAUAGAACAUUUUGCCUUGCAUGG
rnacentral:lncRNA from 1 species